UACGUAGGGGGCUAGCGUUGUUCGGAAUUACUGGGCGUAAAGCGCACGUAGGCGGCUUUGCAAGUCAGCGGUGAAAGCCCGGGGCUCAACCCCGGAAUUGCCUUUGAGACUGCAUCGCUAGAAUUGUGGAGAGGUAAGUGGAAUUCCGAGUGUAGAGGUGAAAUUCGUAGAUAUUCGGAAGAACACCAGUGGCGAAGGCGACUUACUGGACACAUAUUGACGCUGAGGUGCGAAAGCGUGGGGAGCAAACAGG
rnacentral:rRNA from 1 species